rnacentral:rRNA from 1 species
AUUGAACGCUGGCGGCAGGCCUAACACAUGCAAGUCGAACGCGUGGCGGACGGGUGAGUAAUGUCUGGGACACUGCCUGAUGGAGGGGGAUAACCACUGGAAACGGUAGCUAAUCCCGCAUCCUAUCAGAUGCGCCCAGAUGGGAUUAGCUUGUAGGGGGGGUAACGGCUCACCAAGGCGACGACCCCUAGCUGGUCUGAGAGGAUGACCAGCCACACUGGAACUGAGACACGGUCCAGACGCCUACGGGAGGCAGCAGUGGGGAAUAUUGCACAAUGGGCGCAAGCCUGAUGCAGCCAUGCCGCGUGUGUGAAGAAGGCCUUCGGGUUGUAAAGUACUUUCAGCGGGGAGGCGUUACCCGCAGAAGAAGCACUGGCUAACUCCGUGCCAGCAGCCGCGGUAAUUC